rnacentral:RNase_P_RNA from 2 species
UGGGUCGGCUGGACGGUCGCGUGGCGGGUGACCGCACCGAGGAACGUCCGGGCUCCACAGGGCAGGGCGGUGGGUAACACCCACCCGGAGUGAUCCGCGAGAAAGUGCCACAGAGAGCAGACCGCCCGUGAUCCUCGGAUCGCGGGUAAGGGUGAAAGGGUGGUGUAAGAGACCACCGGGGGCCGUGGUGACACGGCCCGCCAGGUAAACCUCGCCCGGAGCAAGGUCAGACAGAGGAUGUUGACGCGGCCCGCCGAGUCCUCGGGUAGACCGCUGGAGCGGCACGGCAACGUGUCGCCGAGAGAGAUGGCCGUCGAAGGGGCGAAGAACCCCGGAACAGAACCCGGCGUACAGGCCGGCCCAUUCG